AGAGUUUGAUCAUGGCUCAGAUUGAACGCUGGCGGAAUGCUUUACACAUGCAAGUCGAGCGGCAGCGCGGGGCAACCUGGCGGCGAGCGGCGAACGGGUGAGUAAUGCAUCGGAACAUGUCUAUGUCGUGGGGGAUAGCCCGGCGAAAGCCGGAUUAAUACCGCAUACGCCCGAGAGGGGAAAGUGGGGGACCGCAAGGCCUCACGCGAUUGGGUUGGCCGAUGUCCGAUUAGCUAGUUGGUAGGGUAACGGCCUACCAAGGCGACGAUCCGUAGCUGGUCUGAGAGGACGACCAGCCACACUGGGACUGAGACACGGCCCAGACUCCUACGGGAGGCAGCAGUGGGGAAUAUUGGACAAUGGGGGCAACCCUGAUCCAGCGACGCCGCGUGUGUGAAGAAGGCCUGCGGGUUGUAAAGCACUUUUAGUGGGGAUGAAAAGCACAGGUCUAAUACAUCUGUGUCUUGACCUAACCCAAAGAAAAAGCACCGGCUAACUCUGUGCCAGCAGCCGCGGUAAUACAGAGGGUGCGAGCGUUAAUCGGAAUUACUGGGCGUAAAGCGUGCGUAGACGGUUAUUUAAGUCGGAUGUGAAAGCCCCGGGCUCAACCUGGGAAUUGCAUUCGAGACUGAAUAGCUAGGGUGCGGUAGAGGGAAGCGGAAUUUCCGGUGUAGCGGUGAAAUGCGUAGAUAUCGGAAGGAACAUCAGUGGCGAAAGCGGCUUCCUGGACCAGCACCGACGUUCAGGCACGAAAGCGUGGGGAGCAAACAGGAUUAGAUACCCUAGUAGUCC
rnacentral:rRNA from 1 species